CCAGCAGCCGCGGUAAUUCCAGCUCCAAUAGCGUAUAUUAAAGUUGUUGCAGUUAAAAAGCUCGUAGUUGAACUUCUGCACGUGCCCGGUUGUGGCUUCGGUCAGGCCGUGGCGCGUGCAUCCGUCUGCAAACCUAGACCGGCCUUCACUGGCCGACUAGGGGAGUAGACCUUUUACCUUGAAAAAAUUAGAGUGUUUCUAGCAGGCAAUUGCUUGAAUACAUUAGCAUGGAAUAAUAGAAUAGGACUUUUGUCCAUUUCGUUGGUUAUUGGACAUUAGUAAUGAUUAAAAGGGACAGUUGGGGGCAUUAGUAUUUAAUUGUCAGAGGUGAAAUUCUUGGAUUU
rnacentral:rRNA from 1 species